rnacentral:rRNA from 1 species
UACGGAGGAGGCAAGCGUUAAUCGGAUUUACUGGGCGUAAAGCGCGCGCAGGCGGCUUUGCAAGACAGAUGUGAAAUCCCCGGGCUCAACCUGGGAACUGCAUUUGUGACUGCAAGGCUAGAGUACGGCAGAGGGGGAUGGAAUUCCGCGUGUAGCAGUGAAAUGCGUAGAUAUGCGGAGGAACACCAAUGGCGAAGGCAAUCCCCUGGGCCUGUACUGACGCUCAUGCACGAAAGCGUGGGGAGCAAACAGG